rnacentral:rRNA from 1 species
GAUAGAGGCCUACCAUGGUGGUAACGGGUAACGGGGUGUUAGGGCACGACACCGGAGAGGGAGCCUGAGAAACGGCUACCACAUCCAAGGAUGGCAGCAGGCGCGCAAAUUACCCAAUCCCGACACGGGGAGGUAGUGACAAUAAAUAACAAUACGGGGUUCUUUAGGAUUUCGUAAUUGGAAUGAGUACAAUUUAAAUCUCUUAACGAGGAACAAUUGGAGGGCAAGUCUGGUGCCAGCAGCCGCGGUAAUUCCAGCUCCAAUAGCGUAUAUUAAAGUUGUUGCAGUUAAAAAGCUCGUAGUUGAAUUUCGGGGUUAGUAGGUUGGUCAUGCCACUGGUAUGUACUGGCCUCACUGAUUCCUCCUUCCUGAUGAGCCGUAAUGCCAUUAAUUUGGUGUUGCGAGGAAUCUGGACUGUUACUUUGAAAAAAUUAGAGUGUUUAAAGCAGGCUAACGCUUGAAUACAUUAGCAUGGAAUAAUGAAAUAGGACGUUCGAUCUUAUUUUGUUGGUUUCUAAGAUUGACGUAAUGAUUAAUAGGGAUAGUUGGGGGCAUUAGUAUUCAAUUGUCAGAGGUGAAAUUCUUGGAUUUAUUGAAGACUAACUACUGCGAGAGCAUUUGCCAAGGAUGUUUUCAUUAAUCAAGAACGAAAGUUAGGGGAUCGAAGACGAUCAGAUACCGUCGUAGUCUUAACCAUAAACUAUGCCGACUAGGGAUCGGAUGAUGUUAAUUUUUUAAUGACUCAUUCGGCGCCUUACGGGAAACCA